CACGUAGGGUGCAAGCGUUGUCCGGAUUCAUUGGGCGUAAAGGGCUAGUAGGCGGCUUAGCAAGUCGGGUGUGAAAACUUCAGGCUCAACCUGGAGCGGCCAUCCGAUACUGCUAUGGCUAGAGUCCGGUAGGGGACCACGGAAUUCCUGGUGUAGCGGUGAAAUGCGCAGAUAUCAGGAGGAACACCGGUGGCGAAGGCGGCGCUCUGGACCGAGACUGACGCUGAGGCGCGAAAGCGUGGGGAGCAAACAGG
rnacentral:rRNA from 1 species